rnacentral:rRNA from 1 species
CGUAGGAUCCUAGCGUUGUCCGGAUUUACUGGGUGUAAAGGGUGCGCAGGCGGGCUUAUAAGUCAGUGGUGAAAUCUCGGCGCUCAACGCCGAAACUGCCUUUGAUACUAUAAGUCUUGAGUUUGGUAGAGAUCCGUGGAAUUCCGAGUGUAGCAGUGAAAUGUGUAGAUAUUCGGAAGAACACCAGCGGCGAAGGCAGCGGAUUGGGCCAAUACUGACGCUCAGGCACGAAAGCAUGGGGAUCAAACAGGAUUAGAUACCCUGGUAGUCCAUGCCCUAAACGAUGUACACUUGAUGUCGGUCUUUAACGGGUCGAUGUCGGAGCUAACGUGUUAAGUGUACCACCUGGGGAGUACGCUCGCAAGGGUG